CAAUCGCUCUUUAUUCCUCCUCUGGGGCUGGGCCCGGCUUCUAGCUGCUGCGGGCAAACUCUCCCUGCCCCACUGAGGCCAACCGUGAGACGUUCUUGCAGUUUAGACUCCUCCUCAGUCGCAAGGGAACGAAGGCUUUGGGGGACUAGUAGUAGCUAUCAGAAGCCCUUGGGAGAGUUUUACUCUCCUUCCCUUUUCUCCUCCCAGUUCAAUUUGGGACAAACUUUCCGUUCCAUCUUCGAGCUCCUUUCAACACACUCGGCCGCUUGGGUUCGUUUUCAGGCUCAGAUAGAUGAAAUCAUUUGUCUGAAGUUGUCUCAGAUUCUGGACUCAGAAAUGGAAAAAACCCAAACCCUAAUAUGUGCCUACUAUGUUCUAGCUUGCCUUCACUUUGGAUCUUCAGCUAGACCCAAGUCCUUGGACCAAGAACUUCCUAUUCAAAUAGUGAAAGAGCUUGACAUUGUGAAUCUGACUGGUCCUUUUGCUGUAACUGAAAAUAUCCCAUGGCUCCAGGAAAGGAGGCAGAUGAAGACGAAAGUUCUAUUUAAAGAAGUCUCACGGGAUUUGAUUGUUCUUCAGAGCACUGAAGAUAGCUAUCAUGUGAAAGAAAAAAAAUAGAUUUAUUUUAUUUCAUUCUAGAAACUAGAACUGGGACCAAAGAGCCAAAAUUCUCAAGCAAGAACUCAAAUAGAACUCAUUUUCGGACACCUCAGGGAUAAAGGAAUGAAGCACUCACAGCAGGGAAUUAUCUUCAUAACCUGUUGUAUCAGCAUCCUUAGGGUUCAGAGAAACAUGUGCACCAUGGAGCUCCAGUGUCUGAUGUAGGAGGUUAGAGAAGGGGUCAGGUUUUUUGAUUACAAGGAAAUUGAAUUAGACAUUUUCCAAAUUACCUUCUAGCACUAAAUCUUGUGAAGUUUUUAAAAAAUUAUUUUUAUUCUGAACUUAAGUACCAAAUAAAAUGGACAUUUCCAUAUACA
rnacentral:lncRNA from 1 species